rnacentral:rRNA from 1 species
GACGAACGCUGGCGGCGUGCCUAAUACAUGCAAGUCGAACGCUUCUUUCCUCCCGAGUGCUUGCACUCAAUUGGAAAGAGGAGUGGCGGACGGGUGAGUAACACGUGGGUAACCUACCCAUCAGAGGGGGAUAACACUUGGAAACAGGUGCUAAUACCGCAUAACAGUUUAUGCCGCAUGGCAUAAGAGUGAAAGGCGCUUUCGGGUGUCGCUGAUGGAUGGACCCGCGGUGCAUUAGCUAGUUGGUGAGGUAACGGCUCACCAAGGCCACGAUGCAUAGCCGACCUGAGAGGGUGAUCGGCCACACUGGGACUGAGACACGGCCCAGACUCCUACGGGAGGCAGCAGUAGGGAAUCUUCGGCAAUGGACGAAAGUCUGACCGAGCAAACGCCGCGUGAGUGAAGAAGGUUUUUCGGAUUCGUAAAACUUCUGU